CUCUCACUUUCACAGCCAGAAAAUCAGAGCCAUGUUGGGAACCAAAGGCCCAGGAAAGGAGAUGCCCUACGGUCUCCAGGAGGGCUACCGUGGCCUUUUGUGAAGUCCUAUGAGACCCCUGAGGGUCCCUAGAAAAGGAGAGGCUGGGACAGCUGGAGACUAAGACCAGAAUGACUGAAGGAAGAACUUGAGCAUGGAAUGGGGGCUGCAUGCUUGUACCCAUCACGUGUGACCAACACCUGUGCCGUCACGUGCAUACAGCACCUGCACCUCACGCAUGAACCCAAGAGGUCCUUGGCUGUCCUCCAGCACGACGGUCCAGCCCCAACCUCUUCAUGCUUCAGCACUGACUGCGGCAUCAUCUGACCCGCCCACACAUUUAAACAGCCUGGAUAUGAGCACAUUUCCUCACCCGGGCCACACAGGUGCAACUGCAUUUCCUAAAGCACACCCACUACAAGCUCAACCCCUCCGGGGACAGAAAGACACAGCUGCCAUGAGUCACCAUGGGAUGUUAGGCAAGUUAAAGUCAGUUAAGCCUCAGUUUUCUCAUCUACAAAAUGGGAAGUAAUAUUAAUACCCAACAGUGCAAGGCUCUCAUGGGGAUGAAAGGAGCUAAUACACUACAGUCAAAAUGUCCUCUAGUGAAAGUGAAAGUUGCUCAGUCGUGUCCGACUCUUUGCGACCCCAUGAACUAUACAGUCCAUGGAAUACUCCAGGCCAGAAUACUGGAGUGGGUAGCCCUUCCCUUCUCCAGGGGAUCUUCUCAACCCAGGGAUCGAACCCAGGUAGCCUUUAGCAAAUGCUCAAUAAAUAAUAGCUCUGCUCAGAAACCCUCUGAAAGUGGGGGUUAACCUGUUGAGGAAAUGGGGACUCUAUGUCAACAGGCAUUUUCCACAAUCAGGCUUUAUAAAAAGUCCAAGGACACAUAAUUUGUAUUCCAUUCCUUAUAUGGUUUGGGAAGAAAUGAGUAAAAUAAAGACUUAUUUCUGAUUUUUCACUGUUGUGUCCCCAGUGCCUGGGAAACACAGUAAAAGCUGGAGUGUAGACUUAAUUAAAUGAUGUGGCCUUUAUGCUUAAACCUACUGAACACAACCAACCCUACUGUUCUGUCUUAGCCACAACUACACGACAGGCUACUCACAAUGGUGGUGACCAAAAAGUAUAAUGGAUUUCCACUGAGUCAGCCAUUAUAUCAGGAAAUGAGAAGGAAAUGUUUGAGAGGCUUCCUGAGUGACAGAAGUACCAUCAACCAGGAUCAUCUCAUGGUCAACCUCUGAAAUUAACCCAUAAAACUUAAAGGGGGAAAUUGCAUCUAAACAUCAAAGGAAGACAGGAAGUUUUUGGGUUUUUUUGUUUUUUUUUUUUUUUAAUUUUUUUUUGGGGGGGGGGAAGUUUUUGUUUUAAAUUGUGUCUUGAAGAAAGAUUCUUUCCAUUUCCAUAUCGGCUUCUCCAUGUGUGCUGACCUACAGUGAAAUCAUAGCCUUGUGUUUUUGAAAACAGAUUCCGCAGCUAUGGAAACAAAAGUUGUCGCUUACGCUGACUUCACUGUAGGAUCAAGUGAGAAGAAACAUCUCAGCUUGGACACGGCUACUUAGCUACAAAUAUUGUUCUUUGCAAUAAAAUGUGCUUAACUGCAAUCAAUAAAUAAAACCCUUAAAUUCCUAAUCCUCUAGAUAAACUGUACCACAUAAAAGUUCAUUUGGCUAACAAUUCAUACUUUAGGCACAUGUG
rnacentral:lncRNA from 1 species